rnacentral:rRNA from 1 species
GAUGAACGCUGGCGGCGUGCCUAAUACAUGCAAGUCGAACGCGAGAGGAGGGAGCUUGCUCCCUCUGAUCGAGUGGCGGACGGGUGAGUAACACGUAGGCAACCUGCCCAUCAGCCGGGGAUAACUGCGGGAAACCGUGGCUAAUACCGGAUAAUCCUCCCCGCCGCGGGGUGGGGAGUUGAAAGACGGUUUCGGCUGUCGCUGAUGGACGGGCCUGCGGGGCAUUAGCUGGUUGGCGGGGUAACGGCCCACCAAGGCAACGAUGCGUAGCCGACCUGAGAGGGUGAUCGGCCACACUGGGACUGAGACACGGCCCAGACUCCUACGGGAGGCAGCAGUAGGGAAUCUUCCGCAAUGGACGCAAGUCUGACGGAGCAACGCCGCGUGAGUGAAGAAGGGUUUCGGCUCGUAAAACUCUGUUGUUAAGGAAGAACGCCAGGUAGAGUAACUGCUACCUGUGUGACGGUACUUAACCAGAAAGCCACGGCUAACUACGUGCCAGCCGCCGCCGUAA